rnacentral:rRNA from 1 species
AGUGAAUAGAUACCCCGGUAGUCCACGCCCUAAACGAUGUCUACUAGUUGUUGGUGGAGUAAAAUCCAUGAGUAAACGCAGCUAAACGCGUGAAGUAGACCGCCUGGGGAGUACGGUCGCAAGAUUAAAACUCAAAUGAAUUGACGGGGGCCCGCACAAGCGGUGGAUUAUGUGGAUUAAUUCGAUGCAACGCGAAAACCUUACCUGGCCUUGACAUGUAGCGAACUUAGCAGAGAUGCUUUGGUGCCCGAAAGGGAGCGCUAACACAGGUGCUGCAUGGCUGUCGUCAGCUCGUGUCGUGAGAUGUUGGGUUAAGUCCCGCAACGAGCGCAACCCUUGCCAUUAAUUGCCAUCAUUUAGUUGGGCACUUUAAUGGGACUGCCGGUGACAAACCGGAGGAAGGUGGGGAUGACGUCAAGUCCUCAUGGCCCUUAUGGCCAGGGCUUCACACGUAAUACAAUGGUCGGUACAGAGGGUUGCCAACCCGCGAGGGGAGCCAAUCCCAGAAAGCCGAUCGUAGUCCGGAUUGUAGUCUGCAAC